rnacentral:lncRNA from 1 species
AGGAUUCUGCAUCAAAGGUGAUUAUUUUCAGAUCAGGCAAUGAGUUAAGCUGCUUCAGUCCCACAUGCUGAGCUGCAAAUACACUAGAGACUUCCUAUUACGUGAGGGAACUCAACUCUGAAAGUUAAGUAACUUGGCACAGUUACAGCACAGCAGAGAAAUAUUUUGAAGGCUUCCACCUAUUCUGCAUUAAUGCAGCACCCGCUUCCAUUUCCAAAAAGGGCAAGACUACGAUUUGCAGGUGUUCCGAUGGCCUGACUGCCACAACUGGCAGAAACAGUUAUUUUGCAAAGGUGAUGACAGGUUCAAGAGGAAAACAAGAGGAAAUCUACUUCCCUCAAUCCUCUGCUAGGAUUUAAUAAGAUCCCACUGUGUUAAUAAAAU